rnacentral:rRNA from 1 species
AUUGAACGCUGGCGGCAGGCCUAACACAUGCAUGUCGAGCGGAUGAAGGAAGCUUGCUCCUGGAUUCAGCGGCGGACGGGUGAGUAAUGCCUAGGAAUCUGCCUGGUAGUGGGGGAUAACGUCCGGAAACGGGCGCUAAUACCGCAUACGUCCUGAGGGAGAAAGUGGGGGAUCUUCGGACCUCACGCUAUCAGAUGAGCCUAGGUCGGAUUAGCUAGUUGGUGGGGUAAAGGCCUACCAAGGCGACGAUCCGUAACUGGUCUGAGAGGAUGAUCAGUCACACUGGAACUGAGACACGGUCCAGACUCCUACGGGAGGCAGCAGUGGGGAAUAUUGGACAAUGGGCGAAAGCCUGAUCCAGCCAUGCCGCGUGUGUGAAGAAGGUCUUCGGAUUGUAAAGCACUUUAAGUUGGGAGGAAGGGCAGUAAGUUAAUACCUUGCUGUUUUGACGUUACCAACAGAAUAAGCACCGGCUAACUUCGUG